rnacentral:lncRNA from 1 species
UUUUUUUUUUUUUUUUUUUUGUGUUGAAGAUGGAUAUGGCAGACGAGGUGUCAUCUAUCUUAUCCCAGGCCAUGGAAAUCCACUGAGCGAACAACAUUGUAAAGAAGUGGGACUGAUACUGGUUAAUUGUGAAAAACUUAUCAUUUUGACCUAUUCGUUCAAUGGUGAAUGGCUAGCGAUGAUGGUAUACCAUUGUCACCAUAAUUUUAUCAUUUUUCUUGUUAUGAAUUUGAGUUCAUAUCACUAGUGGUUUUUUUUUUCUAGACAUCUGGCCAAGAGAUACAUGUUGAUCUUUUUGCUCGAGAGUACAGGAAUAUGAUUGAUGGAAAAGAGGUCAAAAUCACGAACCUCGAAGCUAAAUUUGUGCCCAGAGGCUAAGAUUGUUUCUUUUGGAUCUGUUCUUUAUGGUUGUUAUCUUUUAAACAUUCUGGAUGUCUUGUUAUGAUGUUUAUGUGUGGAUGUUAUUGUGAAUAUUUGGAUGUUUAUAUAUGCAUGUUAUGUUUGGAUGUGCAAAUGUGCAAAUGUGCAAAAUGUGACUAUGUGCAAAACGUGCAAAAUAUGAAAACUUACACUUGUGAACUCUAUCGAAGAGGGGCAUAUUUGUAGACCCCCAUAUGGGGCUCGAGUUUUGUCAUACCCCAACAAUUUUUUCUUACCAGGUGGAGGCCUCUCAAUGAGCCACUUGUCAACUCGUGGAUGGCUGCUGGGAAUCAGAGUAGUGGAUGGGAGAUGCAAUCAGGGAGCGACACCUGUCAAAGGAAUAUUCUGAGGAGCGGGUCUGUUAUGCAAAGGCUGCAGGCCGUUAGUGGUGAGGUUGCUUUUUUUUGGACGUGUUAGUAGAGGAGCGUUUCGGUGUCAGAGAAGGAGGUUGCUUUUUGGACGGGCGGCCUGGAGAUAUUUCGGGGAGGAGGAAGUAGCAGAGGAAAGGGAGCAUGGGAAUGAAAAAGAGGGUAGAGUUUAGCUGUGAGAAGAGGAAAAACAGAUAGCAUGUUUCUGGAGAGGGGGUGACAACAUUGUGGGUAGGAGCAGAGAGCUUUGGGAGAGAGGAGAUUCCUUUAGCAGAGGGAAGGGUAACAAGGAAAAAAAUGAAAUCUGAGAGGGCAGUUCCAGGUACGUUCAAUGUAGUUUUUUUUAUCAUUUCCCCUCAUGACUCUGUUUUCUUUGUCUUCUAUUUUCUAUGGUUAUCUCUGAUUUUCUGGGCAUUGGGCGAUUGUUCGAGCAUGUGAUGACUUAUUACUUUUCUCUUACAUUGUUUAUCUGAAUAUGGCUCAUUCCUAUGAUGGAAUUUUGUUGAUGCUUUCAUCUUGAUAUUUGUUAUGACCUGUCUUGCUGUACCACUGGUUGGGGAACCCUUGAUUUCAACGUAAAAUGGGAUCCCACUAUGGCUCUGCUCACCUUAUCUAUUGGGUUUUAAGUAAGUGUUUCUUGUCUUGCUCUCUCACCUUUAUUUCCGGUGCCUCAACCCAUAUCUCUGCUCUCUGGUUCAUAUUUCUGGAACUGCUCUGGAUGAUCGAUUGCCUGUUCUGACCUGUGCUUGAGAAUGAGAGGGCUGUGCGUUAGCUUACUACCCCAAAUCUGUGACCUUAGUGGACAAGACAUAUGCAUGGUUUACAUUAGCCGCUACUCUAGUUGUUGGGUUUGCCAUUGAUACAGAAAGCUAUAUUCUCCUUUGGUGGCAGCAGAGUAAAACGGGGGGUGGAGGUUUAUCUUGCGCUCAGUGGGGUCCAUGUGUUUUGCCGCUUUGACCAUUGGAAAUGGUAAAAUUUCAUUAACAGUGAAAUAAACGGGUUUGAUUUUAUAGGCGCAUGAGGGUUUCUCUCUGUUUUCUCCAUGCAUUCGGCCAUGAACUAGAAGUUUGAUUUGAAAGAUUUCCUAGUCGCCUCAAGCUUACACAGUUAAGGCUGAGAUUGGAACUGAAAUUUCUGUAAAGAAAGUUAAAGCUGAAGGGAAGAACAGCUACAGCAGCAACAAGGAGCUUCAGGUGCUACAUCCUUGCCCACAUCACAAGCAGGCCGAGCUUCACUUUCCAUGAAUUCACGGGUUCCUACCUUAUUCGUUCAGGAACCCAAUAAUCCAUCCCAGGUACAUAAGCUACGGUGUACUGAGCAGGAACAGUGUGCCGUGCUCACAGCUGGGCAUGUCCUACUACAACGGCAGACCUGGCGCUCAAGCCAACUCCUACACUCGCGGCUGCAGUGCCAUUACUUGCUGCCACCGUGUCACAAUUCCGGGUGGUGUUCUCAACCUGAAUGCCUCGCGUCUGAUCAUCAGUGGCAUGAAGACGCUACAUCCUCAUGUAUAUCAACAAAAUCCAGCAAUUCAUCACAUGAUCCAGUAGCUGUAUUUCAUCCAUCUUCUUAUAUCAUGGGGCCUCUGCUUUCAAGUCUUGCUUGUGAGCCACAUUUAGCAUCAUUGAUGCAAGAGAUUUUUCUUGUUGCACAAACUCUGAUGACCAUUAACAACAACAAUAUAUAGCUAGGCAUGAUGAUUAUUCGUUGAACGAAUGGAUCCACAUAGAUGCAUGCAACAUCAGAAUACGGGAGAUGGUUUUCCACCUUGCGGCUCUUCAAGACACGGUGCACCUGGUUGUAGGAAGGACCCCGCCAAUAAAUGGAAAAACGUUCAUGUGAGCUGCCUAAUAACGGAGAAUCAGAUAAUCAUGAAAGUGAUUUAGAUCAGAAGUGUGCGAGCAAGGAUUUAAAAGGGAGUAAGCUAAAACAGAGGAUUAUGUUGCAUGAAGGGGAACCCCUUACACUGCAGGCACUUCACAAGCUUGUUGCUUUGGUCCAUGAUUCAGUUAAGGUUGCUGAUCGAACUGAACCAGUGCACUCCACUUCAAGAAAUGAUUCUGAUGUUAAAGUGAAAAGUGAACAAAAGAGAAUUGUGGCAAGCAAUCUAUUUCAUUUAGAAAACGACCCUCUCGUUAAAAUUUUGUGGACCUUCGAGCCACUUACACUUCAGAAUGUCUUUCCUGCCAUGGUGCACAAUUUCCCAAGAACAAGAAAGUGGCUACUGAUUUGACUAGAGAAAAUCUGCAAAAAGGGGUGAUUGGAAAGAGCUAGAGUUCAAAGGGUAUAAUUUCAAUGUCAAAGGUUAACUUGCUGAGGUGGCCAUCUUCAUCCAUUGCUCAGGGUUACAGCAUCUUCCUCCAAUUGGCUAGCCGGUUCGCUCGAUUGAGGGUAUUAUGCCAACUAUGCAUGGCCAUCUUUUUAAGCCACGUGUCCUUUUUAUUUAUUUCUUCAUUUUCCAUUUUAAGAUAAUUUCUAGGUUUCCAGUGUUAGGAUAAUUUCCAAUUUCUCCAUUUUCAAAUAAUUUUAACUUUUCAAAUCUUCAUCCUUAGUUUUAGUUUUAUUAGGCCUCAAAAUAUCAAUUUUAAUAAAAUUUGCUUCCACUUUCUAUUUGGCAAGCAAUUUUCAAAUCUUUCAUGAUCUUUUAAAAUGUUUUAAAAAUAAGCAAGAAUUAAUUUCGUAAUUCCGAAUAAUGGAAUUUAUAGAAUUAAUUCAUGCAAAAAUAAACGGGCUUUGGUGGGGGCCCCACAUAUGUGAUUUUAUUAUUGAUGGAUUGAUUGGUUGAUUCGAUGGUCACACAUGAUUGAUUUAUUAUGCUCUAUGAUAUGCAUGAGAUUAUUCCUUAAUUGUGCACUAACCCCCUCUCUUGAUAGCGCAUUGAUCGUUUGAUGCCAAGGUAUGCCCCGCUCUCACUACGGUCAUUCUUUAUUGAGUGUUUUGAUUUUCACGUGUGCAUGAUCACUCUGAGUAUUCAUUGAUUUAUUCAUCAAUUGCCACGUCAGCUUCAUUUUAUUAGUAGAGACCCGAUUUUAGGGACUUAGAGGGGUGCUACGGUCUUUACCGUACCUUCCCGAUAAGUAACCUAACCCCCGAACCCGAUCCGGUUUUUCACAGACCGCCUUUUCCAAAAUAAGGACUCACACUUAGGGUUUUUCUUUCUUAUUUUUUUUACCCUUUAAAAAUAAAACAAAAAUAAGUGGCGACUCCAAGUCAUUUUCAAACAAUAAAUAAAAAUCAAUUUUUCGAAUUGAAAAUCGAGCUUGCCAUCAAGAGGGAAACGCAUGACCCGAAAUGCGGGGUCCACACAAUGUUUUCUACUAUGGCGGAUAACCAUUUUUUGCUCUCAUUAUUAGGGUGGGUAAGAGUUCAUUUAAUUCAGUUACUUACUUCUACAAAUGCAAUCUCUGGUUAUUGUUAAAGCUGAUUGGGAGGCAUGGAUUCAUUUUGUUGUUCUCCUACAAAUAUAGAUGAGGAAUAACCUCAUAGUAUCAAUUCCACUAUUAUUUAUAAAAGGUAAAACAAAGAAAAUAAAUAUGCCAAAUGUUAUGUUGGUUGUAUCAGCCAAGAUGAGGAAUAUUGCCCUUCUUCAACCUUAGGCUAAUAGUGAUGAUACAACCAUCAACUAUUUCUUCCAGGUAAAAAUUUUGAGUAUUGUUUUGAUUUAACACUGAUGUUGUUAUGUAUUUUAACUAUUUGUUUGUUACAUUGAAGAUGGAAUGUGAACGAUGUGGUUGGGUUUUCGUGGAGGAAGUUUGUGUUUAUUUGAGAGUCAAAGAAAAGCCUACUAAUGGGAGCAGAAGAAGAAAUUAUAACAAUGCAUAUCUUAGAAUAGGUUAUAUUACUUAAGCUUCUAUUGUUUUCUUUGCUAUUGCCACUGUUUUUUUUUUUUUUUUUUUUUUUUUUUUUUUUUUUUUGCGUUUGAUGGAUGUGACAGAUAAGGUGUCAUCUCAUUGAUCCUAGGCCAUGGAAAUCCCCUGAGCAAGUAUCACAGUAGAGGUGAUGGACUGAUGUUUUUUUAAUUACAAUGAGUUUAUCCCGGUGACCUAUUCGUUCAAUUAUGGAUGGCUUGCGAUGACGAUAUACAAUUGUCACCAUAAUUUUAUCAUUUUUCUUGUUAUGAAUUUGCGCUCAUGUCACUGGUGGUUUUUCUAUAUUUUUUUUUAUAGAUAUCUGGCCAAGAGAUACAUGUUGAUCUUGUUGGUCGAGAGUACAGGAACGUGAUUGAAGGAGAGGAGGUCACAAUCAUGAGCCUCGAAGCUAAAAUUUGUGCCCAGGGGCUGAGAUUGUUCCUUUUGAAUCUGUCCUUUAUGAUUGUUAUCUUUUAGACAUUUUGGAUGUUUGAGAUAUUUUGGAUGUCUUGUUAAGAUGUUUAUGUGUGGAUGUUAUUGGGAAUAUUUGGAUGUUUAUAUAUGGAUGCUAUGUUUGGAUGUGCAAAAUGUGUAAAUGUGCGAAACGUGCAAAAUGUGACUAUGUGCAAAACGUGCAAAAUGUGAAAAAUUACACUAACACUAAAAAUUACAUUGUUAGUGUCAUUAUAAAAUGUGCAAAAUGUUUGGAUGUUUGGGUGGGUGUUUUAUGACACUGACAAUGUAAGAUAUGAUUGAAAAAAAAAAAGUUUGAUAACAUUUUGCAUAUUUUCUGAUGACAUUAACAAUGUAAAUUUUUUUUAUAACUUUUACUAUUAAAUUAAUGAAAACUGGCCAUUGCAAGCAUAAAUAUAACAAUGUGACCAACAUGUAGAUUUUAAAUUUUAAAUUUAUUUUACAAUGGCCAUUAAAAUAAUAUUAUAAGGAAAUAAUAAAAUAGUAAAUACCUUCAAUAUGAGCAUUAGCAAUGAAGAUAGAAAACUCAAACACCCAUUUUUUCGGUUUAAAAAUGAAUAAAAUUGUUAAAUUAUUGGAAGCUCAGACAUAAUUAAGGAAUAAUAGAAGAUAACAAAGAUGCUAAAAGCUAACUGGCUAUGGUGUUGGAAAAUAGGUACAACAUACAUGUAGAUAUGUCCUCGAAAACACCUAACUUUUGACUUUGAUUGAAAAUUGUGUCUUUGUUGCGUAAGCGGAGAGGCUUGGCUCUGCCGCCAACCCUUGUUUCAUUUCUUCAUUCUCUUUCAUCCCUGCGAUCUCAUUGGACAAAACCAAUGUUUUCUAAUAUGGCAAAUAACCUUUUUUUUUUCUCUCAUUAUUAGGGUGGUUAAGAGUUCAUUCCCUUCCAUUACUUACUUCUACAAAUGCAAUCUUUGGUUAUCAUUAAAGCUGAGUGGGAGACAUAGCUUCAUUUUGCUAUUCUCCUAUAAAUAGAGAUGAGGAAUAACCUCAUUGUAUCAAUUCCACUGUUAUUCAUAAAAGGUAAAACAAAGAAAAUAAAUAUGUCAAAGGUUAUGUUGGUUGUAUCAACCGAGAUGAGGAAUAUUGCCCUUCUUCAACCUCAGGUGUUAAAAAUUUUGAGUAUUGUUUUGAUUUAAUAUUGAUGUUGUUAUGUGUUUUAACUAUUUGUUUUUUACAUUGAAUGGGGAGUGAGAAUAGUGUGGUUGGGUUUCCGUGGAGGAAGUUUGUGUUUCUUUGGGAGUCAAAGAAAAGCCUACUUUAGGGAGCAGAAGAAGGAAUUAUAACAAUGCAUCUCUUAGAGUGGGUUAUAUUACUUAAGCUUUUAUUGUUUUCUUUGUUAUUGUCACUGUUUUCUUUUUUUUCUCAUUCAUCUUCCCAUGAUUUUACUGAGCGAGCAUCACUGUAGAGAUAAUGGACUGAUGUUAAAUUGCAAUGGGCUUAUCCCGGUGACCUAUUCGUUCAAUGGUGGAUGGCUUGCGAUAAUGAUAUACAAUUGUCACCAUAAUUUUAUCAUUUUUCUUGUUAUGAAUUUGAGCUCAUGUCACUAGUGGUUUUUUUAUUAUUUUUUUUCAGACAUCUGGCCAAGAGAUACAUGUUGAUUUUGUUGGUCGAGAGUACAGGAACGUGAUUGAUGGGGAGGAAGUCACAAUCACGAACUUCGAAGCUAAAUUUGUGCUUAGGGGCUGAGAUUGUUCCUUUUGGAUCUAUCCUUUAUGGUUGUUAUUUAGAUCUUCUUUUAGACAUUUUGGAUGUUUUGGAUAUUUUGGAUGUUUUUUUAGGAUGUUUAUGUGUUGAUGUUAUUAUGAAUAUUUGGAUGUUUAUAUGCGGAUGCUAUGUUUGGAAGUGCAAAAUGUGCAAAUGUGCAAAAUAUGCAAAAUUACACUUACACUAAAAAUUACAUUAUUAGUGUCAUUAGAAAAUGUGCAAAAUGUUUGGAUGUUUAUGUGUGGCUGUUUUAUGACACUAACAGUGUAAAAUAUGAUUGGAAAAAAAAAGUUUGAUAACAUUUUGCAUAUUUUCUUAUGACACUAACAAUGUAAUUUAUUUUUAUAACUUUUUACUAUUAAAUUAAUAAAAGUUGGUCAUUGCAAACAUAUCUAUAACAAUGUGACCAACAUGUAGAUUUUAAAAUUUCAAUUUAUUUUACAAUGGCCAUUAAAAUAACAUUUCAAGAAAAUAAUAAAAUAGUAAAUACCUUCAAUAUGAGCAUUAGCAAUCAAGACAUAAAACUUAAACACCCAUUUUUUCAGUUUAAAAAUGAAUAAAAUUGUUAAAUUAUUGGAAGCUCAGACAUAAUUAAGGUAUAAUAGAAGAUAACAAAAAUGCUAAAGGUUAACUGGCUAAGGUGGUGGAAGAUAGGUACUGCAUACAUGUAUAUAUGUCCUCGGAGAGGCCUAGCUUUUGACUUUGAUUGAAAAUGAUGUCUUUGUUGCAUGAGCAGAGAGGCCUGGAUCUACAACGAACCCCUGUUUCCUUGCUUCCUUCCCUUUCAUCCCUACGAUGUUGUUGGACGAAACCAAUGCUUUUUGCUAUGGUGGAUAACCAUUGUUUUCUCUCAAUAUUAAGGUGGGUAAGAGUUAAUUUCCUUCAAUUACUUACUUAUACAGAUAUAUACUUUGGUUAUCGUUCAAGUUGAAUGAGAGGCAUGGCUUCAUUUUGCCCUUCUCCUAUAAAUAGGAAUGAUGAAUAGCCUCAUUGUAUCAAUUCCACUAUUAUUCACAAAAGGUAAAACAAAGAAAAGAAAAAUGCCAAAUGUUAUGUUGGUUGUAUCAGUCAAGAUGAGGAAUAUUGCAUUUCUUCAACCUCGGGCUGGUAGUGAUGAUACAACUAUCAACUACUUCUUCCAAGUAAAACUUUUGAGUAUUGUUUUGAUUUAACACUAAUGUUGUUAUGUAUUUUAACUAUUUGUUUGUUACAUUGGAAGUGAAGUGUGAGCAGUGUGGUUGAGUGUCCUUGGAGAAAGUUUGUGUUUAUUUGGGAGUCAAUGAAAAACCCACUGCAUUGAACAAGAGAAUGAAUUAUAACAACGCAUAUCUUAGAGUGGGUUAUAUAACUUAAGCUUCUAUUGUUUUCUUUGCUAUUGCCACUGUUUUUUUUUUCUCAUUCGUUUGCCCAUGAUUUUUAUUAUGUUUUUGUCGUGUGAUGGAUGUAACAGACAAGGUGUCAUCUCACUGAUACCAGACCAUGGAAAUCCACUAAGCGAGCAUCAUUGUAGAGAGGUGGGACUGAUGUUGUUUAAUUGUGAUGGACUUAUCCCUGUGACCUAUUCGUUCAACGGUGGAUGGCUAGCGGUGAUGGUAUACCAUUGUCACCAUAAUUUUAUCAUUUUUCUUGUUAUUAAUUUGGGUUCAAGUUACUAAUGGUUUUUCUAUUUUUUUUUUCCAAACAUCUAGCUAAGAGAUUCAUGUUGAUCUUGUUGGUCGAGAGUACAGAAACGUGAUUGAUGGAGAAUAGGUCACAAUCACGAACUUGGAAUCCAAAUUUGUGCCUAGGGGCUGAGAUUGUUCCUCUUAGAUCUAUCCUUUAUGGAUGUUAUUUGGAUUAUCUUCUAGACAUUUUGGAUUCUUGGGAUAUUUUGGAUGUCUUGUUAGGAUGUUUAUGCGUGGAUGUUAUUAUGGAUAUUUGGAUGUUUAUGAAUGUUUAUGACACAGACAGUGGAAAUAUGAUUGGAAAAAAAAGUUUGAUAACAUUUUGCAAAUUUUUUUAUGACACUAAUAAUGUAAUUUUUUUUAUACCUUUUGCUAUUAAAUUAAUAAAAGUUGGUCAUUGCAAACAUAUCUAUAACCAUGUGACCAACAUGUAGAUUUUAAAAUUUCAAUUUAUUUUACAAUGGACAUUAAAAUAACAUUCUAAGGGAAUAAUAUAAUAGUAAAUAUUGUCAAUAUUAACAUUAGCAAUCAAGAUAGAAAACUCAAACACCCAUUUUUUUGGUUUAAAAAUGAAUAAAAUUGUUAAAUUAUUGGAAUCUCAGAGAUAAUUAAGGUAUAAUAGAAGAUAACAAAGAUGCUCAAGGCUAAUUGGCUAAGGUGGUGGAAAAUAGGUACUGCAUACAUGUAGAUAUGUCCUUAGAGAGGCCUUGUUUUUCACUUUGAUUGAAAAUGAUGUCUCUGUUGCGUGGGCAAAGAGGCCUGACUUUGUAGCCAACCCCUAUUUUCUUCCUUCCAUCCCUUUCAUCCCUACGAUCUCGCUGGACAAAACUAAUGUUUUAUGCUAUGGUGGAUAACCAUUGUUUUCUCUCAUUAUUAGGGUAGGUAAGAGUUUGUUUCCUUCAUUUGCUUACUACUAUAGAUGCAGACUCUGAUUAUCGUUCAAGUUGAAUGGGAGGCAUGGCUUCAUUUUGCCAUUCUCCUAUAUAUAGAGAUGAAGAACAACCUCAUUUUAUCAAUUCCACUAUUAUUCAUAAAAGGUAAAACAAAGAAAAAAAUAUAUCAAAGGUUAUGUUGGUUGUAUCAGCCGAGAUGAAGAAUAUUGUUAUUCUUCAACGUCGGACUGCUAGUGAUGAUACAACCAUCAAUUACUUCUUCUAAGUAAAAAUUUUGAGUAUUGUUUUGAGUUAACACUAUGUUGUUCUGUAUUUUAACUAUUUGUUUAUUACAUUGAAGGUGGAGUGUGAACGGUGUGGUAUGGUUUCCCUAAAGAAAGUAGGUGUUUAUUUGGGAGUCAAAGAAAAACCCAGUGCAGGGAGCAAGAGAAGGAAUUAUAACAAUGCAUCUCUUAGACUGAGUUGUAUUACCUAAGCUUAUGUUGUUUCUUUGCUAUUGCCACCGUUUUUUUUUCUCAUUUGUCUGCCUAUGAUUUAUGUUCUUGUUUUUGCAGUGUGAUGGAUGUGACAAACGAGGUGUCAUAUCACUGAUCCUAGACCAUGGAAAUCCACCCAGAGAGCAUCAUUGUAGAGAGGUGGGACUGAUGUUGUUUAAUUGCGAUGGGCUUAUUCCUGUGACCUUUUCAUUCAACGGUGGAUGGCUAGCGGUGAUGGUAUACAAUUGUCACCAUAAUUUUAUCAUUUUUUUUGUUAUUAAUUUGAGCUCAAGUCACUAAUGGUUUUUCUUUUUUCUUUUUUUAGACAUCUGGCCAAGAGAUCCAUGUUGAUCUUGUUGGUUGAGAGUACAAGAACAUGAUUGAUGGAGAGGAGGUCACAAUCACAAAUCUGAAAGCUAAAUUUAUGCCUAGAGGCUAAGAUUGUUCAUUUUGAAUCUGUCCUUUAUGGUUGUUAUUUGGAUCUUCUUUUAGACAUUUUGGAUGCUCGGGAUAUUUUGGAUGUCUUGUUAAGAUGUUUAUGUGUGGAUGUUAUUAUGGAUAUUUGGAUGUUUAUGUAUGGAUGCUAUGGAUGUUUAUGUGUGGAUGUUUAUGUAUGGAUGCUAUGGAUGUUUAUGUGUGGAUGUUUAUGACACUGAUAGUGUAAAAUAUGAUUGAAAAAAAAAAGUUUGAUAACAUUUUGCAAAUGUUCUGAUGACACUAACAAUGUAAUUUUUUUUAUACAUUUUGUUAUUAAAUUAAUAGUCUUAAUAAAAUAAGAUUGAAGUGAGAUAAAAUUCUGCCAAAAUUCAUGUAACUUCUUUAACAUUUUUAGUUUACAGAAAAAAUAGUUAUUGAGGAUGAUUCAACAAAUAACAUAUUUAAAAUCAAACAAAUAUCUUAUAGUACCAUAACAAAGGCUGCACAGUGAGUCUCGAAAAGAAAAAUCAUAAAUGUCUAAAAUCAAAUUUAAGAAGUUUAGUUUAUAGAAAACAUGUCCAAAGUAAUUAAAGAUAUUAUUUAAUAAUUCAAUUUUAUGAACCAAGUCCGAAACAAUGUAAGACCUAAGCAUGUUAAAAACAUAACUUUUGUUCCUUAUUUGAAAAAUUAUUUAUGAAUCAAACGAGAUCCUACUGACAUAUUUAAGAAGUUUAGAGCAAUAUCAAAGCAUUGGAAUGAUUUUGGGGAGCUAUGAGUGAUUGGAUUCUAAUUUACAAAUUCAAAGGUGCAAAGGACAUUUAAGAAUGUCAAUAGAAAACUAAUUUUGGGAAAAACUUUGUAUGUAAGGAUUUACUAAAUCCCUUUCUAAUAUCAAAUGAAUUCAUCCAUAAUUCCUUACCUCAAAUGAUCAUUAGCUCACCAAGGCUAAGAGUGAUUCCAUUAAUCGGAGUUAUGGAAUUAAUUUGUGUAUAUUCAAAAUCAAAAUUCAUUUUAAAAACCUUUUCAAAUAUGCAUACCGAAAAUAAUGUAGCCUAACUUGAAAAUUAAUUUGCAUACCUAAUGACUUAAGAUUAAUUUUAAAAUAAAGUUAGAAGAUUGAUUAGACUAUGAAAAAGGUUGAAAACAAUUUUUUUAAAAAAAAAUCUUAAAAUACAUAAAAUUUCAAACACAAACCAUCAAAGAAGAGUAUAAGUGUAUGUACGUGAAUUCUUUAGUGUACCAAGAUGAAAGUCAAGUGGCCUAAAUAUGAACAUAAGACAUAGCUGCAUUUAAGACUAACAGUGUCGUGAUUUAGGUUUUAAAUUAUGAUACAAAAGUAUCCCAAGUGUGUGCCUAAUCAAACCUAAACAUGUGAUCAUCCAUUGUUGUCAAAUGUGUGUGAAUUGUGAUAAGUAAGUCAAAAGCAUAUAUUAACCGAAAACAUAAAAUAAAGGAGACAUGAAUUCAAAUUAAUAUAUUCAUUUAAAGCCAAUUAUAAUACAAUCAUCCAAUGGCUUAUUUAGGUAAAAGAAUGUGAAGAAAAAAAUUAUCCUAAUCACAAUCUUAACUCAUCAAACAACCAAUAUUCUAUCAAACAAUUCCCUGAAUGUCAAUUCUAACAACACUCGUGUGUGGCACGGUUCGUCCACGCCCAAACCAGAUUCAAUAUAUCAAAAUAAAUCAUGCAAUUGAGGAAAAAUUAGAAGGAAAGCAAGAUAAUAUAAAAGAUAAAAAUCAAAGAUAGAAAAUUCAAUAACUUACCUAAGGAUCUUCCAAAAUUCGACAAUGUGUUGGUGUUCUUUCAAGCCAUGUUCAGCUCAUCUUCAUUAAGCAGCCAACUUUAUCGCUUUUUCUUCACUGAUUUUCAGCUAUAAGUUUCCCACAUGACCACCGAAAUCCACCAUUUCUCCAUGGGAAUUCAGCCAUUAAAAUUCUAUUACCCGAACGCCUUUCUCUCACCAUAAAAUAUUCAAUCACCAAAGCACUAACUACUCCAUUCAUGGCCACAUAACCAGUCAUUCUCUCCUCCACGUUCUCUCAUCGCCACCCACACCUUCAUCGCCGGAGAUAGCCCCGCCGUGACCUCCCUUUCCCUCCAGUGCACCUUCACCCAUCGCCGCCCUUCCUUUCUCUCAUGCCGACACUGCCACCCUUUCCACCAUGCCUACAUCGCACCUGUUCCCAUGAUACUCGGGCGCAUUGGGCUCAUUCAUUAUUGAUAUUGGGCUUCCAUUAUUUAUAUUUGGGUUUGUUGAUAUUUGUUUUGGGCCUUUGAUUGAAGGUUUGUUUGUGGGUUGCAGCGAUUUUAUUUUCAUUUGGGCCUUAUGGCAUUGUUAUACAUGUAAAUUCAUUAUUAACGUGUGGUUUUUGUUUCUAUACAUUUAUUUAAUUUGACUAAUUAUUCUAUAAAUACAUUAUUAUUAUUAUUAUUAUUUUAGGCUUAUUUUAUUACUUAAUGGAGAAUAAGUGUUUUUAAGCAAAAUGGUGAAAAUUUGUUUUUUAAAAUAAGAAUCAAAUUUGAAUAUUUAAAAAAAAAAAAUUAUGAAACUCUUUCCUUUUCUAAAAAAAAUGAAUAAAAGACAUUUUGUUACCAAAGUUAAUAGAAAUUUGGCUCAUAGAAAUUUGAAAAAAUAUAUAUAAAAGAAAAAAAAAAGGAUAAAAACUAAAAAAUAAUAAUUAAAAGGUUUAAAUUUAAUAAAUGAUUUGUAUUUGUUACUUGAAACUCAAUCUUUUAUAAAAAAAAAAAGAUUAAAUAAUUUUAAAUUGCUUGAAUUUUUAAUUAAUUUUAAUUAUAUUUGAUUUUUUUUUACAAUUUUAUAAUAAAAUUAAAUAGAAAAAAAUAGUUUUUAAAAUAUUUUUCCUUGGUAUUUUUCUUAAACAAAACAUACUAUUAAACAUUAAAAAAUUGUAAAAUUAUCGUUUUAUAUAGAUAAAUAAUUUUUUAUUUUAUAUAAAAUCAAAAUUUGUUUGAAUGUAUUCUAAGUUUUCUAAAAAAUAAUUUUUAAGAAUAAAAUUCUAUUUAGUAAUGAAAUAUAAAAACUACAUUCUUGGGGCAUACAUACCAUUUACUACUCAAUAAAGUUAUUUUAGUAAAUUACAAAUUUUGAUUUGAUGUUUUUAAAGAGGAAAGAAAAACCUAGAAUGGAACAAAAAUCAUUGAUUGUGAAUGCCCCAAAAAGGAAAGUCUUAAAGCACUUUUGUUAACUUACAUUAAAAUUAUUAUUAUUAUUUAAAAGAAUGAUAAUAUUUUAAACUAUUAAUAAGGAAUAAUAUUAUUUUAAUUGCAGUGUUUGGCAUGUCCUCUUUGAUAAAAUUUCACCUAUCCCCGUACAUGGUUGUGCAGAAUGCCUCAAUGCCUCUGAUCAUGCUUCAGCACUAAUUUCUUAUUCUUCAUUUGGUUUUUGGCUCCUUAUAAAUCAUUUAGGGGUCAAGAUAUUUUGGCCACCCUUAUGAGAAAAAAGUUGCUCUAUGCAUUUGAUAACUGAUUUUUCUAAUAAAAUUUUUAGAAAAAAAUAUUUGAAUUAAAAAACACUUCUAAUGAAAACAUUCCUACUUUUGGAGAUGUCUAACAUAGAAGUUGGUCAUGGCAAGCAUAUCUAUAACCAUAUGACCAACAGAUGUACUUCCAAAUUUUCAAUUUUCAAUUUAUUUUGUAAUGGACAUUACAUAACAAAACUGUAAAAUAACCUUGUAAGCAAAUAUUAACAUUAACAAUAUAAACAGAAAACCAGGCACCCAUAUUUUCAAGCUAUGGCUCAAGGGUAAGGUGGUGGAAAAUAGGUAGGUAGAUAGAUAUUAAUAUAAUAAUAAAUAUUAUAAAUGCUAGCAUUAACAAUAAAAAAUUGUAAAAUUAUUGGAAGUUUUUUUUUUUUCUUUUUAUCUCAAACUCCUAGUGAAAUUAGGGAAAGUAGGGGUCAUGAUCUUAUUUAUCUUGUUUUAACUUUUUAUAUAACAAUUAAAUAAUUUAAAAAUAUAUAAAAAAUUAAUUACAUUUGUUUCUUGUUCAUACUAUUAAAAAUUAUUACUUUAUAUAGAUUUAGAAUUUAUUUUUCUUUUGUACAAAUUCAAAUUUGGUUUGACAAUGUUCUCAAAAACAAUUUAAAAAAAUUAAAACAAUUCUGAAAUAUGUUUAAAAAACAAGGGAACUCUUAAAACACAUUUGAUUAUUAAAAUUAUUAUUAUUUUUAAAAAAAAAAAAGAAUGAUAACAUUUUAAACUAUUAGUACUGUUGCAAAUUCAUUAGUUCUGUUAGGUGGUAACAACUUUUUUUCUCACAUUACUCACUUCUGGUGGGGGUGGGUAACAAUUGAUUUCUUUCAUUAAUUAGUUCCGGUGGGUGGGUAAAAGUUGUUCUCAUGGGUGGGUAAAAGUUGGAUCACUGGAGGCAUCAAGUAGUCAUUUUCUUGCCCUCCGGACGAGAGAAUCCCUAACAAGGUCCUAUUUUCCUCUGCCACUCUCAAUCCUCGCAGGUACUAAUCUAAUCAUGUUAUUUAUUUAUUUGCAACCCCCGUUUGAUUCCCAAGAAAAUCCAUCCCCCAUUCGAUUUCCGGGAAAAUUCAUCCUCGUUUGAUUUCCGAGAAAAUCCAUGCAAAACCCCCAAGGAAAACAAAAAAAAAAUUGCUUUUUUUUUUGCUCCCUGUGGUUAAUAGGAUCUGUUCUAAGGGUCUCUUUGCUUUUGUGCCAUUGGAUUUAAAUUUCACGAACCCUAAAUCACGAUUUUUGAGCCAGGCUGAAAAACACAACCUUUGCCUGCAAAUCAUGAUCAGAUUACCUAUAGCAUCUUAUGCUUUUUUUAUAAAAAAAAUGGACAGAUUUUGUAUCUGUGCGUGGGCUGGACUGGUAGGAAAUAUCGGGAAAUAUCCUGAAAAAUCGGUUAAAAUACCUAUAAAUACCGAAAUAUUGGCGAUAUUUUCGAAAAUUUUCCGAAAUUUCCAUAGACCGAUAACCUGUGACGAAUAUUGUGUAUUUGUCUAUAUUUACUUCUACCCUGUUUCUCUGUUGCCGGUCAGCAACAGAACACUUGCAGGGGUAGGAAAUAUAGGGAAAUAUCCCAAAAAAUGGGUAAAAAUACCUAUAAAUACCGAAAUAUUGGCGAUAUUUUCGAAAAUUUUCCGAAAUUUCCAUCGACCGAUAAUCUGUUUUUUCGACAUUUCAAUCCUGGCAGCUAGGUGGGUAAAAGUAAUUUUCCGUCUUUACUUCUUGGUGGGUAAAAGUUGUUAUCUAUAUUUACUUCUACCUUGUUUCUCUGUUGCCAGUCAGCAACAGAACACUUCCAGGGAAUCAAGCUGCAUUGGAUUUUUGGCUUUGAACAGCAGAGUUGAUGAGGACUUCAAGCUGCAUGCAGUAGUCAAAAUCUCUCAUUUUGCCCUCCUUUCCUCCUAUAAAUAGAGGAGGGAGAGUGACCUCAAUAUUCCACCCAACUGCAAUUCAUUUGCAUAACGUUGGCCUUUUCAAGCCCGAAGGUGGUACCGAUGAUGAGGAAAUGAACUAUUUCUGUAAGAUAAACAUUCAAUAUUGUUCAUCAUUUGUUGUUUGAUUUAACAUUGAUGUUCUUUUGUAGUUUAACAUUUUAGUUUCUCUGUGGAUGGGUUUCUCAGAAAGAAGUAUGUGUUAACAUCAGAGUUCAAGAAAAAGCCCCUGGGAAGUAGGAGAAAGAGUCAUGUGAACAUAUCUCCUACGGUGGAUAGUAUUAGCUUCAUUCUUUAUUAUUUCUGCUCUUUCUCUCAUUGCUUUUGUUAUUGUUUGUUUCUUGAUUUUGCAGUGUGAUAGGUGCGAGCAAGGGAUUAUCUCACUGGUCCCAGACAUGGACGCCCACUGAGGGGAGAUGAUUUUAUAGACGUGCAUGGUGUUCGAUUGUGAUGGAAUCCUUCGGUGGACUACUCUUUUAACGGUGGAUGGUCCGUCAUAAUGGUAUACAUAACAUUAUGGCAAGAGCAUCCACCGUUAAAAGAGUAGUCCAUCGGGAGGAUUCCAUUACAAUCGAACACCAUUAAUGGCACGUCUGUAAAAUCAUCCCCUUAGUGGGCGUCCAUGUCCGGGGCCUAGUGAGAUUGUCCCUUGCCACUCGCACCUAUCACACUGCAAAACUAAGAAACAAACAAUAACAGAAGUAAUGUUGUCGUUGAUGGGGAGUAUAUUGAAAUCAACAUGCGAGAAGCCAAGUUCGAACCAACAAUGGAUGACAGAAUGCUUGGUUUUUAGUUUAGGCAGUUUCUGAUUGUUUUCAGUUAACUAGGUCGUUUAUGUUUUUCCUUUCUGUUCCCUCUCUGUUUGUAAUCCCUUUUCUUUUAUCAUUAUCAAACGUUUCGUCGUUCCAACCCAAUAGAGCCCUAGUGGAGUGAGCAGUAAAAUAAAAACCAAAAUGGAAAAUUUGUUCCCACUAAAAAAAAUAUAAAUUUAAUUUUUAAAAAUAAAAAUAAUGAAAACUAAAUAUUAUAUAAAAAAAAUAUUCAUCAUUAAUUAAUUACUAAUAUUUUAUACUAUUUCAAUAUUCUCGGGCUUGAAUUUGUUUGGCCAAAAUGGUUGCAUGGGCCACCAAUCACCCGCAUCGGAGAAGAAAAUACCACUACUAUGCUAUUUAUUUCUUUAUGUAAACAUUUUCCUGUUAGCUAAAAAAAUAGAUUCCUCCUAAAAUUUUCAUAAUAAUAAAAAUGAAAUUAAUUUAAAGUUACAUAAUAUAAUUUUUUUUUAAAUUUAUAAAAUAAUAAGUUAUAUAAUUUUAUAUAUAUAUGAAUUAAAUAACUUUCAACAAAUAAUUUCACAUUUAAAUAUUAUAUAUUUUUUAUUUAAUAAAAUGUUAAAAUAUUGAUGUAUCUAUAUUUUAAUAUGAUAAUAUUAAAAAUACAAAAAAAUAAAUAUUAUUAAUUUUUAAUUUCUUUACAUACUUAAAAAAAUUUUUAUAUAUAUUUUAAAUUGUAAUAAUAUAUAAAUUAUAUAUUUAUGACAUUAUCAUUCAACCAUGGAUCUAACCAAUAAACCAUAAAAUGAUAACUUUUCCAGUUCAAUGAUUAGUCCAAUUAUAAAAACAUUAAAAUAAUAAAUCAAAUACUAUAGUAAAAUAUAUAUAUAUAUAUAUAUAUGUGUGUGUGAUAUAAACUAUCACACAAAGACCACAUUAGAGAUAAGAUUAUCAUAUUCAGAUGAGAAAAUAUAUAAUUAUCAUAUUCCUUAAUCGAUUAAUCAAGAAAGAGGACUAUAAUACUUUAAUUUAUUAUAUAUAACUAUAUAAUAAACUAACUUUUAUAUUUAAAUUCUAAAAUAGGAUUUUGGUGUCAAAAGCAUUUAAGAAUAAUUUUUAAAUUUUAUUUGUUUAAGAAUUAUUUUCAAAAAUAUUAUCAAACUAAUUUUUAUAUAAGUAUUUUUUUUAAAAUAAAAAUAUGAUAGUUGUUAUUUUUGUAUAUUUUGGUAAGAAAAAAAAAAGGCAUAUCCUUUACAUCACAUUCUACUUCUAUGAUUCUACUUUACAUCUGUUUCAAAGCUACAAAGCGUUCCACCCAGUUCAUACUAAAAGCUAUUAUUUUCCAAAUGUCUGUUACCUCCCAUACCCAAAUUCUCAUCCAUGGCCUUUCACUUCAAACCCACCUUAUUUCCUAACUGAUUGGUCUCAAUUCAAUUGAUUAUGCUUGUUUCAUCCUUGAUUAAACCCUUUCUUCUUAAUCAGAACCUACAGCCUCCAAGACUCCACAAAAUUCCCUAUUUCUCUAUCUCUAAAUGCUUUAGAACAGUGUUAAACCAAGUAAUUUCACAUAUCCAUUUUUCCUAAAAGCUUGUUCCACCCUUGGUUGGGUGCUUGAUGAUGAACAAAUUCAUACUCUCUCCUACCCCUUCUAUGGAUAACAGUCUUACCUUUAUGGGACUUUGAAACGCCCCUUCAAACCCAAACUUUUCAGCUAAAUAAAAGGGCAAGUGAUCAGUGCAAGGAGGAACCAAAAAAGAACAGUUCAACAAACCAUUAAUCCUUGCAAUUGAGUUAUAAGAAGAAUCAAAUUAAUGGGACAUGGCUCUGUGAGAGAGAGAGAGCUAUUUUCAACACAAAGCCGUGUUGCAAAAGUUUAAGCAAAAGCCCAAUUGUCUUUAUAAUCUUGUUGCUUCAAACUACAUAAAUUGUAUAGAAAACUAUAUAAACAGUUUCACACAGGUUCUUAUUGAAAUCAACAUGCGAGAAGCCAAGUUCGAACCAACAAUGGAUGACAGAAUGCUUGGUUUUUAGUUUAGGCAGUUUCUGAUUGUUUUCAGUUAACUAGGUCGUUUAUGUUUUGCCUUUCUGUUCCCUCUCUGUUUGUAAUCCCUUUUCUAUUAUCAGUAUCAAACGUUUCGUCGUUCCAACCCAAGAGAGCCCUAGUGGAGUGAGCAGUAAAAUAAAAACCAAAAUGGAAAAUUUGUUCCCACUAAAAAAAUAUAAAUUUAAUUUUAAAAAAUAAAAAUAAUGAAAACUAAAUAUUAUAUAAAAAAAAAUAUUCAUCAUUAAUUAAUUACUAAUAUUUUAUACUAUUUCAAUAUUCUCGGGCUUGAAUUUGUUUGGCCAAAAUGGUUGCAUGGGCCACCAAUCACCCGCAUCGGAGAAGAAAAUAACACUACUAUGCUAUUUAUUUCUUUAUGUAAACAUUUUCAUGUUAGCUAAAAAAAUAGAUUACUCCCAAAAUUUUCAUAAUAAUAAAAAUGAAAAUAAUUUAAAGUUACAUAAUAUAAUUUUUUUUUAAAUUUAUAAAAUAAUAAGUUAUAUAACUUUAUAUAUAUAUAUAUAUAUAUAUGAAUUAAAUAACUUUCAACAAAUAAUUUCACAUUUAAAUAUUAUAUAUUUUUUAUUUAAUAAAAUGUUAAAAUAUUAAUGUAUCUAUAUUUUAAUAUGAUAAUAUUAAAAAUACAAAAAAAUAAAUAUUAUUAAUUUUUAAUUUCUUUACAAACUUAAAAAAAUUUUUAUAAAUGUUUUAAAUUGUAAUAAUAUAUAAAUUAUAUAUUUAUGACAUUAUCGAUUCAACCAUCGAUUUAACCAAUAAACCAUAAAAUGAUAACUUUUCCAGUUCAAUGAUUAGUCCAAUUAUGAAAACAUUAAAAUAAUAAAUCAAAUACUAUAGUAAAAUAUAUAUAUGUGUGUGUGAUAUAGACUAUCACACAAAGACCACAUUAGAGAUAAGAUUAUCAUAUUCAGAUGGGAAAAGAUAUAAUUAUCAUAUUCGUUAACCGAUUAAUUAAGAAAGAGGACUAUAAUACUUUAAUUUAUUAUAUAUAUAACUAUAUAAUAAAUUAUCUUUUAUAUUUAAAUUCUAAAAUAGGAUUUUGGUGUCAAAAGCAUUUAAGAAUAAUUUUUAAAUUUUAUUUGUUUAAGAAUUAUUUUCAAAAAUAUUAUCAAACUAAUUUUUAUAUAAGUAUUUUAAAAAAAAUAAAAAUAUGAUAGUUGUUAUUUUUGUAUAUUUUGGUAAGAAAAAAAAAAGGCAUAUCAUUUACAUCACAUUCCACUUCUACUUUAUAUCACAUUCUACUUCUAUGAUUCUACUUUACAUCCGUUUCAAAGCUACAAAACGUUCCACCCAGUUCAUACUAAAGCUAUUAUUUUUCAAAUGUCUGUUACCUCCCAUACCCAAAUUCUCAUCCAUGGUCUCAAUUCAAUUGAUUAUGCUCGUUUCAUCCUUGAUUAAACCCUUUCUUCUUAAUCAGAACCUACACCCUCCAAGACUCCACAAAAUUCCCUAUUUCUCUAUCUCUAAAUGCUUUAGAACAGUGUUAAACCAAGUAAUUUCACAUAUCCAUUUUUCCUAAAAGCUUGUUCCACCCUUGGUUGGGUGCUUGAUGAUGAACAAAUUCAUACUCUCUCCUACCCCUUCUAUGGAUAACAGUCUCACCUUUAUGGGACUUUGAAACGCCCCUUCAAACCCAAACUUUUCAGCUAAAUAAAAGGGCAAGUGAUCAGUGCAAGGAGGAACCAAAAAAGAACAGUUCAACAAACCAUUAAUCCUUGCAAUUGAGUUAUAAGAAGAAUCAGAUUAAUGGGACAUGGCUCUGUGAGAGAGAGAGGGAGAGUUGUUUUCAACACAAAGCCGUGUUGCAAAAGUUUAAGCAAAAGCCCAAUUGUCUUUAUAAUAACUUGUUGCUUCAAACUAUAUAAAUUGUAUAGAAAACUAUAUAAACAGUUUCACACAUAUAUCACACAGGUUCCAUAGGCUGUUCUACCAUUUUUACAACUUUGUAUAUAUCGUACAUGUUUUUUUCGCCAUCGACAGCAUAAAACACUUGUCAUGACCCUCCCAUUUUGAAAUGAAUAAUAGAACCUUACAUCACUAACACAAAACCGUCUUCCAUAUACAAUAAAAAUGGCCAAAAAAAAUGUGGCUACCAUCAUAAAUUACAGUCUAGGUACUAAAAAACCGACCCAAAAGAAGAAAUACAAUACCGAGAAGCCCCACAAACAAAUGAAAAAGCCUUUGCUGGAGCAACUUCCUGGACGCCAGGGCAUGUUUCUAUUUGUUGCUCAGUGUUUUGGCACUAGAACUGUAGUUUCUACUAAUCAAAUACCCCACACUGUAAAGAACAAAAUGGCAACAGGAAAGGGGGGAAAAAGAAUCAACCCAGACAGAGAAAGCAAAUACUAGCCUGGGAAAAUGAAACAUAUAUAAAUAUGAAUCAAGCAGAUGGAAAAUGGAACGUAUGCACAGGUUUUGCAACAGGUAGAUCGUGAAGAAGGGCUGUGGGAAGAGAGGAGAAUUGGAAGGAAAAGGCAACCACUGGAAAUCAUUCAACCCUUAGUAAUAAGAAUGAGAAGCCUGAGUUUUCACGAAUCAGUGGUGGAGGAUCAAUAUCAGAAACUUCUAUUUGUUGCAUUGUCUUGGAAAUAUCAUCCACAGUGAAUGGAAUACUGCAAUAAUAAAGAAAAAAAUACGCGAAAGGUUGGUUUAUUGCCACAGAGCAAUGAGAUCACGAUUGCCGGUAAAAUCAAGCAGUGGAUUGGAAUUUAUUACCUUGAGUCAUCAUCCAAUAAGAACGAACUGCUGACAGCAUUGUUCGAAUCUUCAGUCAUCAUUACUCUCAUGCUUGAAAUAACCUGUCACUAGAGAAGAGGUUUUAGACAGGAUUUUGACAAAUGGAUCUGAAACAACUGGAAAUAAAUAAAGACAGCAACGUGUAAAGGUUACAGAGGAGUAAUUAAUCUCACCUCUUCGGUUGCUUCAUGGCACCAGUUUUCUAACUCAGCCAAUCCUGUCUUAACAAACUCCCCAUUGCUGAAUGAGCAACAUUCACGCCUCAAAAGGAGACUGCAAAAAUGAAUUUAAAAAUGCCACUUAUGCAUAUUACAUAAUCAAGGCAAUUGGGAUCAUAAGAAAAAAGCUAUGUUUGAGUGCACUUACCUGUUGAAUAAUUGAACAUUGAUGAAUGAAAAUAUCUGAGUGAAUACCUUGCAGACUACGAAUGGCGGAACCUGUACAGUCACAAUAUCCAACAGAAUGAGGUACUGCUGUAAGAAGAAAAACAAUCAGUUCUUGACAUUAUAUUUCAGACUGAAACUUACAUGGUUUGCUUUCAUUAUCUUCAAGUAAUAAUUCAGGCUUUUCACAAUGCUUUGCCAAUGAGCAAUCAACGCUUGUUGUGCAACUGCAUUAGCUUGAGAACGUCUCUUCAUGGGAUGUUCUAGGUGCCUGUAUAAUGAAAAGAUACUUGAAUGGAGAUCAAGAAUAUAUUGGGCAACUUAAAAGUUUCAUUGAAAAAGAGAGUGAGCUGCCUUACAUAGAAAUAGUAAAUGAGUUACUGAGAUGAUGUGUGUCAAGUGGUCAAUUUGCCCAAUAGAAACAUUCUUUCUAGGUGCAAAGGAAUCGAUUGAUCCCUAAAUUCUAACAACAUGUACUUAUUCAAGGAAGUUUAUUUACAUGUAAAUGAAUAAAUAAAUUCAAGGGGAGGCAUACUUUGUUUUGGGUGAACAAUAGAAAAUGUGAAUUAAUAGGUUGACUUACAAGUUGAGUUACAGGCAGCAGCACGAUGUAAAAAAUAUAGGAAAUAUUUACUUACCAUCUACAUAUCCUAACUUAAUCUGUCAUAUCCCUUUUCUUCCCUUAUAAGUAAAAAAUCAAACCAUAUUGUUGAAGAAAAAGUACAAAAAGAGUCUUAUAAACCCAUUGUGGAAAGAAAGUCAAUGGAUUUGUUUGUAUUUAAAAGAAUUGAAUUGCAACCAAACAAAAUAAACAAACAUGUUCUUCAAUCUUUCAUGAAAGUAAAGCAACAAGUUGAGUGUCUGUUUUUAAAUAAUUAGCAACAAAAGUUUGUCAUUUCUUGACCUUAAUAAGUGAAUUGCAGGCUGACUCAUAAGAAUAUCAAUAGGUUCAAUACUGAUGUGUUGGGUAGUUAGGGAAGGACUUACAUAAAAAAGGGUUCUUCAAAAAAUGAGUUGCUUUUGAUAUUAAAUGGAACUAGUCAUACCAUUCAUAUACCAUUCAUAUUUUCUUUCGAAUUAGCUAUUGCUAAGAAGAAUUACCUGAAUACACAAUCCAAGCAAUGGGGAAAUCUCUUUCUUUAAAUUGUCUCUUAUCAUUCCAUAUAUCUUCUCAAGGAAGGCUGUGAGUUGCUGUUUAAAAAGCAAAGCUGGAUAUUUGGCUUCAACUUGUCUCAAGUCAUCCAGUCCACCAAGCACCCGACCAUUAAGAAAUGAGAACCCAGCACUUUGUGGAGAUGCACAAAGCCCCUAAAAAUGUAAGGCAGCAAAUGAGAAAAUAGGUAGUGUAGUUGUCUCAAUUCAGCACCUGAUUAAUCAAGAAGCAUGCUGAAGAAGGACAAUUCUGGACAAUAAAACUUAAAUUUGAAAAUCAAGAAAAUAUUACAGAUUAUAUGUGAGCAAAAUUUUGGUGGUGGACUCAUCAAUCCACAUGAGUAAAAAGUUGAUGGUAAAGGGCACAUGUGGAAUCAACACAAAUAGGUAGUGUAGUUGUCUCAGGUUCUCCAGACAUUUAAUGCAGUAUUACCAAUAAGGCAUAGAAAACUUCCAAAUAAUUCCAUUUUGUAUAUUUUGUUACAAACCUCUGCACUGAAUCCUCGAGUUGAUCCACUUUCUUCUCUGCAUCACCAAGCUUUGUGGUUAGUUCCUCAUUUUGGGCCUGAGCAGCAGCACAAGCUUGCUUGGCCUCUUCUGCUGCUUGUGUUUGUGAUAGUAAAGAAGCCUGUAAAUUUGCAAAUGAUUGUCACUCUAACCCGCAGUUCUAAUAAUUAACCCAUAUGCUAACAUCAACAGGAGGUAUAUUAAACUGCAACAGGAAUUCCCUGAUUUCCAACUUUUCCACUUUCUGAUACUUCCAACCAAGCAUUCAUGGCUAGCUUCAAGUCUUAAGUUAAAUCAACAAAUAGUAGUAUAUGUAAACUACACAUCAUAUGAUGAUUCCAAAUACAGAUUAAUGCACAAUGACAUAACUACACUAAGUGCAGCCAGUUCCUCAUACAUAAUGUACAUAUAGCACAUGCAAUCAUAGCCCCAUACAUUUGCAAGAUCCGUUUUCAAUUUUAAAUGGGAAUGUGAAUUCAACAUUAGAGUUAAAUUAUCUCUACCAAACCAAGGAGCCAUAACCAAAUAAACCUUCUGCUAUUUGUAGGGUGCGGCAUGAGAUUUUAAUCACCCAGAUGCAUCUUAAUGCAAAUGGUCUAGAUUAGGACUAAGAGAAUGCGCAGAGAACGUAUGAGAUACAGUAAUUAUCAUAGACAAAAGUUAGUAGCUCUACCUUCAGCCUUUCAACUUCAGCUGUCAACGAGUCCACCUUCUCUGUAUCUUGGACUAUAACUGGGGUCUCCUUAGUGACAGGAGGUGCUUCUUCAAUUGCUUCGAUCGAGCUGCCUCUCGUUCUCUGAUAACCAUGGCAUUAGCUUCUUCUAUUUGCAAUUGCAUUGCGUGCGACAUUUCUUGCAGUUUAGCAGUUUCCUGGGCUUUGGCCUCCUCAAGAUCAACCUGUCUUUUAAACAGAAACAAAAAGUACAGUGCAGGCCAAUCAGAGGACUAUUUCUAUCACAUCCAAAUCACUGCACUGAAACUGAACUAAGAUACUUUGUUUAUAUAUCUAUAUUCUCAAACUGUUGGGGGGCGAUCCCAAGUGGUGUUUUUCAAUUAUUAUAAAUGAAUAAAGGGUAUUCAGAAAUUUGGGGCUCUAGGAGGGACACAUGCAUGUAGAUAAAGCAACCCAAAUAAUGAAAGAUCAUUUUAAAAGAGAUGACAGAUAGGGGGAGGUGGAGACAAUCAAAGGGAUGCCUUGGGACUCUGGGAGGGACAAAUGUAAUUGAUAAGCUUCAAAACUGUGUAUCGGACUUCCUCCCUUCAAGAGUUCCAUUAGUUGACAUAGGGGACUAGCUGAUCUACAACUCUAAACACCCUAAUUGAUGGACUAUAUAUGUAUAAUAUAUACAUUUAUAAAGAGCGAAAAAAAUAUCUACACUACCUUUAAUCAGUUAUAUAUUUGCCUGCUUUGAGGCGAAUGAGGCUUUUAAAGCCUUUGUCAUCUCUUGUUUCGGACGUGGGAUCAUAAAGAUUGAUAAAAAGGAAAAUGAGAUUUAAAACAGCAACAGACCAUAGGCUCAAGGUAAGAUGUUCACACCACUCUACUAUACUUCCAUUGGUGUUAAGAUUGAUAAAAAAUGAAUUAUAUAUGUUAUUACAACAAAUAAUAUAUAUAUAUAUAUAUAUAUAUAUAUAUAUAUAUAUACUUAUAUUUUCAUAUUUAAUAUAAAAUAUGAAGAAAUAAAUAUUAUUAUUAUUUAAUUAUAUAUAUUUUUAAUUUGUAAAAAUUAUUUUAAAUUUUAAUAAAAUAUAAAUUAUAUAUUUGUGAUCUCAUCGAUAGUUGAAUUGAUAUAUUUUCCAGUUUAAUCAAUCCAGUUUUUUAAACAUUGUAAAUAACUAUAAUAUUUUAAAAUUUUAAAUAUAAUUUUAAUUUAUUUAAAAAUGGACAUUAUAUAAUAGCAUUAAAAAUAAAAACACAAAUCCCAUGUGGUAAAAUUGUAAAAUUAUUAAAAGGUGGGUGAUAAUUAUUAAUAGUAAUACAAAAAAUAAAUAAUACAUUUGGAGCUUCUAUGACUUAUUUGAUUUCUCUGUUUCCUUUUUUUUCUUUUUAUCUAAAACUCCUAUUGAAAUUAGGGAAAGGGGAGGUCAUGAUUAAAUUUUAAAAAGUUUAAAUUUAAUAUCUUAUUUCUCUUAUUUUAACUUUUUAUAUAAAAAUUUUAAAAAAUUUAAAAUAUAAAAAAAAAUUAAUUUUAAUUACAUUUGUUUAUCGUUACUAUUUCUUUUUUUUUUUUUUCUUUCUUGAACCAAACAUACUAUUAAAAAUUAUAAAAUUGUAAAAUUAUUACUUUAUAUAGGCUUAGAAUUGUUUUUCUUUUGUACAAAUUCAAAUUUUGUUUGAAAAAAUUAUCAGAAACAAUUUUUUUAAAAACAUAAAACCAAUUCUGAAUUACUUUCAAAAAUGAAAUUCUAUUUAGAAAUUCAAAUAUAAAAACGAAAGGUUUUUUAUUUAUUUAUUUAUUUGGCGUGUAAUUUAUGUUUAAAAAAUAGUUACCAUACCAAGUACCAACUUUAGAAUUUCAGAAAAAUUAUUUUAGUAAAUUACUAAUUUGUUUUUAUUUAUUUUUAUUUUUUACAUAUCUAGUGAAAUUAGGAAUAUUGAUUUCUAUAAAAACAACACUAAUCAAACAUAACUCAGUUGAAGUUUCGAAACCCUAGAAAAAUUUGAGGGGAAAAGAGGGCAUUCAGAAUGAGUAGGAGGUUAUUAUUCAAUCAAGAAUCAUCAGAAAAUAAUUGUUAUGUUCAUCAUCAUACCAAGAAAAAAGAAAGAAAGUGGAGAAGAAGAGGGGUGUGGUUUCUCUCAGACAAAUGCCUCGUUUUGUCGUCAGGAUUUAUGGAAAGCAUGAAUGAUCGGACUCGUCAUCAUUUUACUAUCAUCACCGAGAAACUCACCAAACCCCGAUUCAAAACAAAAACAAAAACAAGAAAAGAAUGAUUGCUUCUCCUGAUCCUAGAAGUGGCAAGUACCUAAGGCCAAUCAUCAUCAAAAGAGAGUUAGUGAGCUUUGGUAGUGGGGCUCAGCCACCUGCUGCUUAUCGUCUCCUCCAACUCCUUUCUCCUUCUAUUUGUAGUGACACUGCCACCGCACUCCUAGGGUUAGGGUUAGGGUUUCUUCAAAUUUACCAAAAAUGGCACUAUUUCAAAUUGGAUCCCAAAUCCUGUAAACUUGGGCUGAGUUUGGGCUCAGGUGUGGACGACAUCCCCACCCAGCCCAAAUCCCCCAAGCCCAUCUCGUAUCCACGUUUAAAAUGUUAUCAACAUUUUAAAAAUAUUUUAUUAUGAAUUUUCAAAAUCAUAUUCAUUUUUUUUGGCAUACUAAUAAAUCAUUAAUACAUCUAUUGUUGAUUAAUAGAUAUU